UGCAGCCUUGUCAAAUUCAGUGCUUCCUCCUUCCUGGAUGCCACUGGCCAAAAUGGCUGCCACAGUGAAGGUGUAGUUCAUGGGCCCCGCGGUGCUGAAACACAGCCGUUGGGGAUAAAUAUGUACUACGCACAAUA
rnacentral:snoRNA from 1 species